rnacentral:lncRNA from 1 species
AAUUUUGGAACAUAAAAAUAAGAUACUUAAAAGUCAUCUUUGAAAUGAUAAUCAAGAAACAGCAGCUAUGAAGCCUUGAAUUUUGAAAAAAAGACAAGAAGGUGCAAAAGGGAUUCAAGACGUCUGACUAGAGGCAUCUAGCAUUUGCCUCCUCCACAAAGAAGAACCAAAAUAGUGAGUGAUCACACUUCUAAUAGAUAAUCUAAAAAAGAAUACUGGAAUUCAACAGAGAAGUAACAGGAAACACCUAACGCAAGGAAAGAGAGGGAAGAGAGGCAGCCUGCCUGGCUAGGGUUGGCUGGGAACCUCAAAGAGGCUCCACAAUGUGGGAAAAAGAUAAUAUGAUCUUAUAUUUAGAAAAAUCUAAAGACUUCACCAAAAAUCUCCCAUCAGUAAAUUUAGUAAAGUUGCAGGAGACAAAAUUAA